rnacentral:rRNA from 1 species
UACGAAGGGGGCUAGCGUUGCUCGGAAUGACUGGGCGUAAAGGGCGCGUAGGCGGCUUGCACAGUCAGGCGUGAAAUUCCUGGGCUCAACCUGGGGACUGCGCUUGAGACGUGUGGGCUUGAGUGGGGAAGAGGGUCGUGGAAUUCCCAGUGUAGAGGUGAAAUUCGUAGAUAUUGGGAAGAACACCAGUGGCGAAGGCGGCUAUCUGGACGGUUUCUGACGCUAAGACGCGAAAGCGUGGGGAGCAAAUAGG